rnacentral:lncRNA from 1 species
GCUGUCUAGGGAUGGGAGCUGAGUUUGUAAUGCUCCUGAUUUACUAGAAACAAGGGCUAUAUGGAGAAGCUGGAAGGAUCAUGUACUCAUGAUACAGCUUGGAAAACAGUGGACACUCAGAAGUGUAAGAAUUAAAGGUUAGUUCUCAGGUUGCUUAUAGCCUGGGAGGAGCUUCUGCUGAGUGCGGGGAGAGGCAAAAAGGUAGGAUGGCAGAAACUGCUUCCAGCUGGUGUUUGUUUAACAAAGCUUUAGAGGUGAAGGCAGAAGGAAGCCUGGGAGAUGUUUGGGUUUUGUUCAUGCUGGAGAACUGAAGGAAUCAAGAAGCUAAAGGUCACUGCACAGAAUCUGUCCAUCACACAGACCUUGCCUCAGGAAUGCAGCCACUGGAUCCAUCCUUUGGUGAGCAAUGUAAGCUUGGUCAUUCUGAAUGUCUGUUCUCUCAUCUUGAUGUUUUCCUUUGACAUUAAAGAGCCAAUUGCUGGUAUUUUGCUGGAUUUAGUUUGGAUAGAAUGGAAGCAGUCAGAUUUCAUCCUUUUAUAUAAUUCUAGCCUAGCCCUGGAGACAGCUGUGAAUCCACAGAGGUCUGACUUCUAUUCAUAACUGGUUUCAGUCCUGUGUUGCUUAUUGUGUGUGUCUGAGAUCAGUAAAAAUUAAACAUCGAUUAAAAGUUUUCUGAUGGCAGUAACUGAAAAGGCAAUGGGAUACUCAGAAAUUAUUUUCUACUCCACAGUUUUUUUCAUAAGCUUUUUUCUUAGUAUCUGUUUGCCAUGGGAUCUAUAGCUGCCUGUCUUAUAA